rnacentral:lncRNA from 1 species
CACAAUCUCCCCUGCUUUCACCACCUGAUUGAGUUCUCUUUGUCUUCCCACAAAAAUUGUUACCACCAAAAGAAAAAUCAAUCAUCGCUCUGAUCCCCGCUUGCUCUCUUCUCUGAUUUUUGUUCUGUUCUUUCUACAACACUAAAUUUAAGAUGGGUAGGUCUAAAGGAAACAACUUUGGCAUCCGAUUCUGUUUUUGAUUUGAUCGGUGUACAGAUUCUAAAAUUUUGUUCUUUCUUUAAUUGGAC